GACGAACGCUGGCGGCGUGCUUAACACAUGCAAGUCGAACGGAAAGGCCCUGUUGUUGUGGGGUGCUCGAGUAGCGAACGGGUAAGUAACACGUGAGUAACCUGCCCUUGACUUUGGGAUAACUUCAGGAAACUGGGGCUAAUACCGGAUAGGAGCUCCUGCUGCAUGGUGGUGGUUGGAUAGUUUCGGUGGGUGGGGACGGACUCGCGGCUUAUCGGCUUGUUGGGGGGGUAGUGGCUUACCAAGGGUUUGACGGGUAGCCGGCCUGAGGGGGGGACCGGCCACAUUGGGACUGGGUUAGGGCCCGGACCCCACCGGGAGGAGGCGUGGGGGAUAUUUCCACAUGGGGGCGAAGCCGGAUCCGCCACCGCCGCGGGGGGAUUACCGGCUUUCGGUUGUAAACCCGUUUUCGCCGGUAACGAAGCUUUUGUGACGGUAAUUGGUGAAGAAGCACCGGCUAACUACGUG
rnacentral:rRNA from 1 species